AUUGAACGCUGGCGGCAGGCCUAACACAUGCAAGUCGAACGGUAACAGGAAGAAGCUUGCUUCUUUGCUGACGAGUGGCGGACGGGUGAGUAAUGUCUGGGAAACUGCCUGAUGGAGGGGGAUAACUACUGGAAACGGUAGCUAAUACCGCAUAACGUCGCAAGACCAAAGAGGGGGACCUUCGGGCCUCUUGCCAUCGGAUGUGCCCAGAUGGGAUUAGCUAGUAGGUGGGGUAAAGGCUCACCUAGGCGACGAGCCCUAGCUGGUCUGAGAGGAUGACCAGCCACACUGGAACUGAGACACGGUCCAGACUCCUACGGGAGGCAGCAGUGGGGAAUAUUGCACAAUGGGCGCAAGCCUGAUGCAGCCAUGCCGCGUGUAUGAAGAAGGCCUUCGGGUUGUAAAGUACUUUCAGCGGGGAGGAAGGGAGUAAAGUUAAUACCUUUGCUCAUUGACGUUACCCGCAGAAGAAGCACCGGCUAACUCCGUG
rnacentral:rRNA from 1 species